UUAUUUCUUUCUUUCUUUCUUUCUCUUUGCUUUGAUUGAUUUAAUCAAUCAAGAAAGAAAGAGGGAGAAAAG
rnacentral:ribozyme from 14 species